rnacentral:rRNA from 1 species
UACGUAGGGUCCGAGCGUUGUCCGGAAUUAUUGGGCGUAAAGGGCUCGUAGGCGGUUUGUCGCGUCGGGAGUGAAAACUCAGGGCUCAACCCUGAGCGUGCUUCCGAUACGGGCAGACUAGAGGUAUGCAGGGGAGAACGGAAUUCCUGGUGUAGCGGUGGAAUGCGCAGAUAUCAGGAGGAACACCGGUGGCGAAGGCGGUUCUCUGGGCAUUACCUGACGCUGAGGAGCGAAAGCAUAGGGAGCGAACAGG